UCCCAGGCUUCCUGCGUUCGUGUACAAGCACCUAAGAUAACUAGCCGAUUGCCCUACUUUCUCAGUAUGAAUCAGGAGGCCUCCCCUGGUGCACCCUCCUCCUUGUGUUUUCUCCUGGUAUCCCACUGCCCCACUUACCUCAUGGCUUAGGUCUCCUAAUUUUAGAUUUCAACCACUACAUGGUUUUUACCCUUUGGGACACAGUAUUGUAGUGAAGGAACAUUAAAUAAAAUAUACUAACUGCCCUCUCCCAGCUGGAAAGCACCAUGGUCAUUCUAGUUUUCUGGUGUGGCAGGACGAAUGGGUUAACUACUAUAGCAAAAGGGAAGUUCAAGAGCAUGUUAGCUUCCUGGCAAAUGAGUGAAACAUCCUUGAUACACAUUAAAACAUUCACCUUUCCUUUGGUAUUUCAAUAAAAACAAAAAAGCUGCUUUCUGUAGCUAUUCAGGUUCCAUCUACAGCACCCAUCCUCAGCUAUUCACUUAAUGACUGGUAAGUUAUUGAAAUAUGCACAGUCAUCUAUCUUCCUUCCGUAUAUAUCUGAACGAGAGCUGCUUUUCCAUUUAGAGAAGACAGACAAUAAGCUAUUCUACAAACUGUCAGGUAGGUCAGUCUGUAGAAUUCCUGUCACUGCUGAACUGGUGCUGUCUCCUUGCAUCUGAAGGUGAAGGCUGUGUUGAAGAUUGCAUAGUCCAUCCCACUAAUUAAUAGAGACAGACAAGCACAUUGCACUGAUACUCUACCUUAGCCCACUAUCAGAACUGUUUCAAGGUCUUGGUGCUAAUCUUUAACUAUGAGACCUACAAAUGGGGCGUAGAAGUAGAUGGGGAAUUGGUUUGCACUCUUUUGGGCUUCUUUUUGGUGUAUAAAGAAAUCUUGAAGUCCUGUAUCUGAACAUCAUUUUUGUUUUGACUCCUUGAUUGCCUUAUCUUUAGAAAUGUCAUGUCUGACCUUCCCUGAUUCUAACUGUAUCUCCAGGGAGGGUUAUAAGAGCUAGCUCAGUUGUUUGAGUAUUGGUCUGCUAAACCCAGUGUUGUGAGUUCAAUCCUUGAGGGAGCCAUUUAGAGAUCUGGGGCAAAAACUGGGGAUUGGUCCUGCUUUGAGCAGGGGGUUUGACUAGAUGACCUCCUGAGGUCCCUUCCAACCCUGAUAUUCUAUAAUUCUAUGAAAUCCUUAACUGAAGGGUGCUUUAUCUUUAACAAAGAUACUUUCUUCUAUUUCUAAUAGAGCACAAAGUUUUAAACACACUGAAUACAACUUAUGCUUAUGCUCAAAUAAAUUGGUUAGUCUCUAAGGUGCCACAAGUACUCCUUUUCUUUUUGUGAAUACAACUACUUUCCUGUCCUGAAUUAAUUAGUAUCAGAGGGGUAGCCGUGUUCGUCUGUAUGCACAAAAACAACGAGGAGUCAGGUGGCAUCUUAAAGACUAACAGAUGCAUCUGAAUGCAUCUGAAGAAGUGGGUUUUUUAGCUUAUGAAAGCUUAUGCCCAAAUAAAUCUGUUAGUCUUUAAGGUGCCACCGGACUCCUAGCUGAAUUAAUUAGGUUUCAUGCAUUGAUAGCAAUGGGGUCAUAAUUGUUCUAAUUCUCCAACUGCCCCUAGAAUUUUUUUAGGAAAAACAGGGUAGAUAAAAUCUUAAUCUCAACCAUAAGACAUGAAAACAUAUUUGAUUUUAAGGAAAAACAAAUUUGGGCCUUCUUUAUCUAUCAAAGGACAAAAAAGGGGCACUGACCCAAUUUUCUUUUCCUGGGCAUGUUGUCUUUUAAAGUUUUCUAUGCACGAAGGCCUAGCUGUUUCAGACUACUCUGCUGCAACACCUGCCUCCAAAUUGUGAUCAACAGGGAUGCUGUUGCUGACAAAGCAUGAUACCUAGCAGUCAUGUGACAAACCCAUACCUAAGGAACUCCCCAACACCACACUUGAGGGCAAGUAACAAAAAUGAAGACAGAUCUCCUUCCUUUCUCUCAGAGUGGCAUAGCAACAUGCACCAGGAGAGCUAAUCUUUUCAAAAGUCCUCUCCAUACUGCUAGCUUCUCCCCCACUCUUUUUAGAGUCUCAACUCUGGGGGGCAAGUUUCUCACUUGGUUUCUCACUCACAGCACCUAGGCACAACAGGGUUUCAGUCUUGGUUGUGGCUUCUAAGCACAGCCAGAGCACAGAAGUAAUUUAAAAGGAACAUUUUUACAGAUAUAAUAUGGAUAUUCUUUCCCUAUUUGUAAAUUACAAAUAUUUCAAGCAAUAAUAUUUCUGGCUACAUUUUCCUGAGAGAAAGGUAAUAUUUUAGCAGUUACAAUGCUUGCCCAUUUUUAGGAUCUAAACUCUUUUCAAGAUUUCCAGGGUGGUUUCUUUUUCCCCGCCAUCCCCCAAAGCUUUUAUUCUCAUCUUCCCCAAGACACUAUCACUAAAAUAAUAUUAUGGAGUUAAAUGUCAUGUGAUGGAGCACAGUAGCUAAGUGAGUUCUCAGCAGACUCCUGAAAAAUUCUUCAUUUAAAGCCCUACAUUCCCUUUUUUGGGGGCAAAAAUCAGAGAAAGUGGCAAGAAAUGUCUAAACUUUUUUGAUCACCAGAAAAGGCCAACUCCACCAAAGCAGAUAUGAAAACUUUGCAGCCUGUUUCCUGGAACUCAAAGAUGAUGGGUCAUGACAAACAAAUUAGCUGCCAGGAGUGUGCAAAAUGGAGAGAGCAGAGUUUACUAUAUAUAAUGCAUAUUUACCACUUGUUCAGUGACAAGGUACGACAAUAGUAUCAGACUGGUCUUAUAAUCAGGACCCAGUGCAAAGGUUAGUCACAAACUAAAUGUUUUAUUAUUUUAUUUCCUGUCCUCAGAGCUCAAAUUUUCUUUUAAAAUAUGUUAUCUAAAUCUAACCAUAGUUCUCCAAUGAGGCUUACUCAGUGCUGCUUAGAGUGUUAGACUAUGUUUGUUUUAACUUUAAUAUGAGUAAACCAAGUGAAGUUGAAUUACUUCAUAGUCUAACUAGAACAUAGACUAAUCAUAGUCUAACACUGGUUUGAGUGUAACAGUUUCACAGAGUUUGCUUAUACCAUAAAUUACCCUGUAUAACUCAGAUCCUGCUCCAUGUUACCACCACCUAUAGUAGGCUAUCCUCCAUGGUCAAUUCUUGAAGUUUGUACUUAAGUAGCAGUUUUGCCUGAGUAAGGACUUUAGGGUUUAGACCCCAGUCUCUCUAACUGCAUGUAAAUAGUUUGUCUUUCGUGGAACACUUUACACUGAUUCUUGUUGAAUUUUGUUCCAUUAGUUUCAGAGUGUCUUUCCAAUUAAUCAAGAUCACAUUCCAUAUGUUAAUAUUACCUGCUAAAGUAUUUCUGAUGUCUUCCACAUAGGUAUAGUUUGAAUUUCAUUAUGUUCUGCCCUUCAAAUAAUUAAUACAAAUAAAGGAAACUUAUUGUUUGGUCAUGGAAAGACAGUGCUUGAAGAAAUCCCGCCAAUUGUCAGGGCUGUACUGAAGUUCCUGGAGCUACUGGUAGAACAAGGAAUGUAGCUAAGCGUACACAGAAAUUUUAAAAACAAAAAUUGGGUGCACUCUACCUGGGACUAAAAUACCAUUACAGACAACCAGGUUUGCUAGUGUUACUGUAUCACUGCCAAUUUGUUUAUUGGUUAGAAGAGUAACCAAUGAACAUACCUUGCCAUACAUAGUCUUGAAAGCUGCCUUGAUUUUUUGCCUUUGAUCGUUGGAGCGAUUGGACACAACAUUAAUGAUAGCCUGCUCAUCCGUUCCUAGGAAAUAAAAAGGCAAUUUCUUACAAGAAAUUAAACAUAAUCCUCCAAAACUGUUCAUUUUUACAAUUUUUAGAGUUUUGACAAAUACAGUGCAAAUUUUUAUACACAUAUAUAUAAAAAUAAAAAAUGUUGGCCAAUAUAUAUGCUUAAAGGGUACAGUUUUCAAAAGCACCAACUGAGAAUUAGGAGUCUGAAAUAUUUUUACCCAAGAUCUAUACAAUUAGAAGAAAAGAAAAAUGCCUUUAACUUUUUGGCUAAUAAACAUAAACUCUGUAGUAAUCACUAAAUACAGAUCUUCUCUUACCAAAUCCCUUCAUAGCCUUGCGCAGUAUUUCUGCAUCCCUCCCAGCAUCGAAGUUGGGCGCAGCUUGAAUUGUGCCCUGAGUACUUUGAGUCAUUGCUGCAGGCUAAGAGUGAACGAGUUAUGCAUUACCAGCCAAUUUACAUAAUGCAAAGUACUAACUGAAUGUAGUGUUAAACUUUACAGUUAAUAUUUCAGAGACACACGCAAGGAACAUGUCUAAGUUUUACCACACACUCCUGGGGAGAGGAACAACCUCUUAACAGUUAGGAAGGCAUUUUAUCGCAAUUAACAGUCUUGAUCCACUAGUGCCAUAUUAACACUGUUUUGCACAGUUGCAUUGCUGAGGAUGUAUUCUGGAUGCAAACUCAGUGACCAUUUAGGACAGAACUGUUCUUUCCAAUACAGGUUGCUGAUCUCUAGGGAGUAUUCUGGAUGUAGAACUUUCACUGAAAUCAGUGGGCUUUCCAAACAGACCACAUGCAGAAUACUGAAGAAAGCUGCUGUGUGGGUUAAAGAAGACUGUGACUCUCCUUUUUGCAUAGACAGAGUUUCCAAAAGCAAGCUACUAGAGGGCAGAUCCUUUCAGCCUAAGUAGCUGGCCUGUGCACUAGGGAUUCUGCAGGGGCUUGAUAGAAAGGAAUCCUCCUCUCAGAGCACACUGUGUCUGCUGCAGCUACUGAUUCCCUUCUCUGGCCACGUUAACCACCAUUCAAUCCACAAAAUGGUGGAUCCACUACCCCGUUCCAGUCCUUCCCUGGCCCACUCUAAUCUGUCCCAAAGCUCACUGGUAGUCCAAACAAAGCUGUGCUCCAUGCUGUGCAGUCCCCACACGUGACAAAUGAUUGCACCAAUUCCACUGCAUCUUUGCACCACUAUGCUCAUAUGGGUGGGGAAUGCACAGGUAUUUGCCCCCCUCAAAGGAAGAUCAUGGCUUCUUGCAGACUACUAGCAAGAGAAAAAAUGUAAAUGUUUUCUCAUCCCCUUAGAUCACAGGUGGAAAAUCUCACAUAUAAAUUACUUCUCAUAAUUCCCUGAAUGAAAAUGGGCAGAGCCUGAUCUAAGUCAUGUAGAGUAGGCAAGACAACAGCAUAGGCUAAUUUUAUCCUAAAGUUAUAUAUAUAGUUCAGUACAGAAGAAAAAGUGCUAGAUUACAAUUUAAUGUAAAAGUGUGAAGCUUUCUGACAAAAUGUCCAACUCCUUUCAAAAAUACUGACUAUAAAAUACACUAACUUUGUAUUCUUUGAAAGAGAGGCUAAUUGUGGUAAAUGGUGCUGGGUAACAAUCUAAGACACGUAGUGAUCCAUGCUACUAAAGAACCCAAGCCCACCUAUAGGAUUGAUUUGCUCUUUACAUUUUGCAUGCAGUACUAAGGAAACUGCAAGGGUUUCUAUGGCAUUACUGCCAAUGUACCUUAGCUGUUAUAAAGGAAUAACCUCAGCAUAUAUAGCCCUGCAUGUACAUUACCUAAAAAUAUACAUGGGCAUUUUUUUCGGUUACAUGGAAGAGUGCCCUACUAUAAAACAGUAUCUGUUUGUGGGAUUUGCUAAGCAAUGUGCUUAUAUGGCACUUGUAAUAAAAACAAUCCAAAGGAGACCAGCUUAGUUGUUACUGUCUCUAGUGCACAACUACCAUACACAGAUCUCUUAAAUAAGCAGGCAGUUUUUAAUGUAUACAGUAGUCAACUGAGCAUCCUUAGAAACUUAUGUAGUCAAGCAGCUAAAACAAAAUGGGUGAACUUCACUUGCUGGCAAAGGCCCUCUUUGCCCCCACAAUACCCCUAAAUGGGCGUUUGAGUGUGGAAAAACACACAUGUGACAUGACUGCAUAGUGGAGGGGGGAAGAGAGAUGGCGUCUCCAUAGCCUAUGCCUGCCAAGAGAGAACACUCCACACCUGCUUUGAUUUUGGUGAUAUGGAUAGUGUCCACUGGAGCUAUACUUACAUGGAUCCAGUGACUAGGAACCCCUGCACAGGGUGCAGUGAUCCUUCCUCCAGGCCAUAGGCCUGAAUAUUGGCCCCAAGACAGCAGUGCUACAGCCCUGCAGCUAGCCUUGGCUUGGGGGGAGUAAUUGUCACACCCCUAUCCCAGACUUGAUGCAAGAUAAUCUCUUUACAGAGGAAUCAAGAAUUGCAUUAUCUGUGCUUGCUUUGAUGUACUUCUGGCCUUAAUCUUUCUCCCAAAAUACCAGCAGUGAUUAGAUCCACAUUAAGGUUUCAUUGCUCAAUGACCCUUUCUUAAAAACUGAUUUUAUUGUUAACUCAAUAACAAAAAAGCCUUCUUGAGCCUGUUUGUUUUGUUCCUUCUUCCAAGUUUCAGUCUACAGUGACAUUCCUGAAAAUAGAAUGGUUGACAAACUGCUGGGCAGAGCUUUCAGUAGAACUGUAUAAAGUGUACUGGAAAAUCUGCAGUUAGAAUAGUAUGUUGCCAGUUUGCAUGUGUAAGGAACAUGUCAUCUAAACAAACAUCUGUGGCCUUAAAAAUAAAGUCAGAGAGCCUAUAACCCCCAAACUAUAAACACAUAUAUAAAAGUGAUCUACACAUCUGGUUGAGUCUAAUAUUGAAGUGUGGGUGUAUCCAAAGUAAACCAUCAUUUUGCAGCAUCUUUAAAAAGUUUCCAUACUGAAAGUAAGAGUUAUAUGGUAAGUGAAAAAUCAAAGGGAAAUGAUUGUGAAGCAAUACCUUUCGUGGCAUAACUAUAUUCCACUGUCCUCCCUAUUCUAGUGUGGGUGUAUUUUCAAUUAGUGUGUUCCAUGUUAUUUUCCAUACUCCCUUGGGGCACAGAUUAAUGAAGAAAUAUUUUAUGUAUUAUUCUCAUGCUGCUAGAAAGUAUGUUUUGAGACACCACGCUGCUUACAUCAUUUACUUUGCAUUAUGCUCCAAUCUACCUGUGAUUAACAUACAUCUAAGGGGAGCAUAAAAUCCCUCCUUUACCUGUAAAGGGUUAAGAAACUCAAAUAACGUGGUUGGUACCUGCCCAAAAGGACCAAUAAGGGAAGAAGAUACUUUCAGCUCUGUGGGGGAAGGUUUUUGUUUGUGCUCUCUUUGUGUUCUCUCCGGGACAGGGAUGGACCAGGGCAGAAAAAACACAUCUCCUAAGGCCAUAUCUGAAAUAAGCAUCUAAGAUUACAAACUGCUGUUGAAAAUCUGGAAAGGAUUCAGAAAAGAGCGACUAGAAUUAGAGGUCUGGAUAAUGUGCCUUACAAUAAAAGACAUAUGAAGCUCCAUCUAUUUAGCUUCUCAAAGAGAAAGUUAUGAGGUGACUCAAUCACCAUCUAUAAGUACCCAUACGGGGAAAACAUUCUGAUAGAAGAGGACUCUACUCUAGUAAAGGCAUAACAAGAACCAAUGAUGGGAAACUGAAACUAGAUAAAUUAAAGGGAGACAAAAGUGCAAAUUUCUAAAUUAAGGUACUUAAUCACUGGAACAACUUACCAAGGGAUGUAGUGGCAUUCCAUAACUUGAAAUCUUUAAAUCUAUAUUGGAUGUCUUUCUAAUUAUGUUCUAGCUCUACCACAAGCUAUGGGCUUGAUGCAGGAAUUAAUGGAUGAAAUUCUGUAUCCAGUGUUACACAGGUCAAACUAGAUGUCCAUAAGGGUUUCUUCUUCUGGCCUUAAAUCUAUGAACGUUUAUAAUCUUAUUGUUCAGAGCUUCAUUAAAUAUUAGCAUGGUGCAGAAUUUACAAUCAGAUUAUAAAUCUGGUCAUUAAAUUGCCAAUGCUUUGUUUUUCUGUUCUAAAUAUUACCAUAUAACCUAAGAGCCCAGUUGUCUGAAUAAUCUUAUGUAUGUAACCAUGUCCAACCACGCUGCCCCAUUAUUCUCAUUCUCAUUUGUUGUGUCAUGUUUAUAAUCUAGUUUGUAAAUUCUUCGAGGCGGGUACUUUAUCCAACAAUCUGUUCUGCGAGACUCCAUGCACAUCUUUGGUCUUGGUACAAAUGCAUAAGAAGAACUAGAAAAGAGGUUUUUAAAAUUGCGUUAAAGCAUGGGUUUGAUUGUGGUCACUUGCUAAAGGCAUAAAGCCACUUCUGGUUUCAAGGUCAGGCAUCUCUCCGGGAUGGCAGAUAUGGCUUGCUCACUAAUCAAUGACAAAAAGUACCACUGCAAAAAGCCAGCUACUGUCAAAAUCUGGCUUGGAGUUCAUUUGGGUGCCUAUUUCAGACUUGUGCUCUAAAAGACAACAAGGUUUAGGAGAUGAAUACUACCCUUCAUGCUCAUCUUUUCAAGUUGCACCCAAAUUGCUGGGAUGAUAAAAAGACUGUGAAAUUUUAUCUGAAUUCCCAGACUAGAGCCCUGCAUGGGACUAUUAUUUUUAAUCCCACUCCCGUCCCAUCCCACAAUAUCCACUCACACCCACUCCCGCAUUGUUUCUUGCAUUUUUAUCCUGCUCCCACCCACAAAUCCUGCAAGAGAGACCAAUUCCCCCAUGCUACUAAAACAAACAUAUGGUCGGUUAAUAUACUAUCUAUCUAUCUAUAUAUAGUAUUUUUUUACAUGGUUUAAGAAAGAUUUGUUUAACUCCUGUUAUAAUAGACAUCAAAUCUCUUUCUACCCCUCACGUAAAUUUAAGUAUUAAAACCUUUAUUUUUUUAAAAAAGAAAAGCUUGCUUUACAUUGCUGAAAUUCUAUUUAUGACAAACUACUGUUGUGCUUAUCAUACGGAACAUCAAAGCAAAUUGCACCACAGUUUUGCCUUAAAAGGUGUAGAUUUUUUUAAAUUACUAAAAAAGUAAGUUAAAAUAAACACUGAAAUUUUUUUAAACUGCUUAAGUACAGUUUUUAGAACUUUGAAACAUACGAUUCCAAUUAUUUAUAUGUCAGGAUUAUUAUUGCUUUUUGAAAAACACUUAAUGGAAAAACUGCUCACAGCACUUGGUUUUUGAUAGAAAUAAAUUUUAAGAAGAGGCUCAAACUAAGUGAUCAACAAUAAGGUCAACUUAAACAGCAGGUGUAGCUAAACUUGCAUUUUGUUUUCCCACAAAUUACCACAAUCUGGUUUUUUUGCCCACCCAAUCCUGCCUGCAACAAAAUACAUUUUACCCGCCCUUGGUAUUAUGGCAGUGGAUGCUGUAAGACUCUAUCUCAGAUUGUCUUUUGAACAAGGUUUUUUCCUUCGCUGCAUUGUGUAUAAUAGUAACACUAUAAAUUAUUUCAAUUGC